GGGCGAGUAGAGCGGCGGACGGGUGAGUAAUACAUAGGUAAUCUACCUUCGAGCUUGGGAUAACCCCGCGAAAGUGGGGCUAAUACCGGAUAAGACCACGUAACCAUGUUGCGGGGUAAAAGGUGGCUUAUUUUUUAAAUGAGCUAUCACUUGAGGAUGAGCCUGUGGCCUAUCAGCUAGUUGGCGGGGUAAAAGCCCACCAAGGCUAUGACGGGUAGCUGGUCUGAGAGGACGACCAGCCACACUGGGACUGAGACACGGCCCAGACUCCUACGGGAGGCAGCAGUGGGGAAUAUUGGGCAAUGGGCGAAAGCCCUGACCCAGCGACGCCGGCGUGGGCGAUGAAGGCCUUCGGGUUGUAAAGCCCUGUCAUGCGGAAAGAACGACCCUGUGACGCAUACUCACAGGGAGGUGACGGGUACCGCAGGAGGAAGCACCGGCUAACUCCGUGCCAGCAGCCGCGGUAAUACGGAGGGUGCAAGCGUUGUUCGGAAUUAUUGGGCGUAAAGGGCGCGUAGGCGGUAAUGCAAGUCAGAUGUGAAAUACUUCGGCUCAACUGAAGAACUGCAUCUGAAACUGCAUAACUAGAGUACAGAAGAGGGAAACGGAAUUCCCGGUGUAGAGGUGAAAUUCGUAGAUAUCGGGAGGAACACCAGUGGCGAAGGCGGUUUCCUGGUCUGAUACUGACGCUGAGGCGCGAAAGUGUGGGGAGCAAACAGGAUUAGAUACCCUGGUAGUCCACACUGUAAACGGUGAACACUAGGUGUGGGAGGUGUAUACCUUCCGUGCCGUAGCUAC
rnacentral:rRNA from 1 species